GACGAACGCUGGCGGCGUGCCUAAUACAUGCCAGUUGAGCGCUGAAGGUUGGUACUUGUACCGACUGGAUGAGCAGCGAACGGGUGAGUAACGCGUGGGGAAUCUGCCUUUGAGCGGGGGACAACAUUUGGAAACGAAUGCUAAUACCGCAUAAAAACUUUAAACACAAGUUUUAAGUUUGAAAGAUGCAAUUGCAUCACUCAAAGAUGAUCCCGCGUUGUAUUAGCUAGUUGGUGAGGUAAAGGCUCACCAAGGCGAUGAUACAUAGCCGACCUGAGAGGGGGAUCGGCCACAUUGGGACUGAGACACGGCCCAAACCCCUACGGGAGGCAGCAGUAGGGAAUCUUCGGCAAUGGACGAAAGUCUGACCGAGCAACGCCGCGUGAGUGAAGAAGGUUUUCGGAUCGUAAAACUCUGUUGGUAGAGAAGAACGUUGGUGAGAGUGGAAAGCUCAUCAAGUGACGGUAACUACCCAGAAAGGGACGGCUAACUACGUG
rnacentral:rRNA from 1 species